AUCAUGGCUCAGAGCGAACGCUGGCGGCAGGCUUAACACAUGCAAGUCGAGCGGGCAUCGCAAGAUGUCAGCGGCAGACGGGAGAGUAACACGUGGGAACAUGCCCUUCGGUUCGGAAUAACUCAGGGAAACUUGAGCUAAUACCGGAUACGUCCGUAAGGAGAAAGAUUUAUCGCCGAAGGAUUGGCCCGCGUCCGAUUAGCUAGUUGGUGAGGUAACGGCUCACCAAGGCGACGAUCGGUAGCUGGUCUGAGAGGAUGAUCAGCCUCACUGGGACUGAGACACGAGCCCAGACUCCUACGGGAGGCAGCAGUGGGGUAAUAUUGGACAAUGGGCGCAAGCCUGAUACCAGCCAUGCCGUCGUGGGUGAUGAAGGCCCUAGGGUUGUAAAGCCCUUCGGUCGGGUGUAAGCAUAAUGACGGUACCCGCAGAAGAAGCCCCGGCUAA
rnacentral:rRNA from 1 species